AAGGGUGACGAAGCGACGCCGCGUGUGGGAAGAAGGCCUUCGGGUUGUAAACCACUGUCGGGAGUUAGGAAAUGCAGGUGCGUUAAUAGCGCACUUGCUUGACUAAGGCUCCAGAGGAAGCCACGGCUAACUCUGUGCCAGCAGCCGCGGUAAUACAGAGGCGGCAAGCGUUGUUCGGAAUUAUUGGGCGUAAAGAGCACGUAGACGGCCUUGCAAGUCAGUUGUGAAAGCCUUCCGCUUAACGGAAGAACGGCAUCUGAUACUACAGGGCUUGAGUACGGGAGGGGAGAGUGGAACUUCUGGUGGAGCGGUGAAAUGCGUAGAUAUCAGAAGGAACGCCGGCGGCGAAAGCGACUCUCUGGUCCGAAACUGACGCUGAGUGUGCGAAAGCUAGGGGAGCAAACGGGAUUAGAUACCCCGGUAGUCCUAGCCGUAAACGAUGGGCACUAAGUAGAGGGGUCU
rnacentral:rRNA from 1 species